CUCACGCCCGCGUCGGCUCGACCAAUAGGAGAAACUGGAGCAUGGGGUGGUCCGGGUUGGGCUGCCUGUCGGCCCCCACCACCAGCGUCGAGGCCUUUAAAAGCAUUGCGCUGAGCCCCAGUAGGAGACGAGGUUGCUGUGAAGUCACCCGGCGGAAAAUGACUCUUGAUUUGUGCCCUGUGUUGAUUUUCAAUCACACAAAAAGCAAUUUUUGUGCGCUUAUUCGGUCAACGUAUUACACAAUCCCCCGACGGAGAUCUGCGUAGGAAGGGUAAAAAAUGUCACAAGAAUAAACGGCUCAUAAUUUAUAAUCCUGUCAGCAUAAAGUGGAAUAAUAAAGUUGAAUCAAGUUUCACGUUUGGC
ensembl:lncRNA